AGCGAACGCUGGCGGCAGGCCUAACACAUGCAAGUCGAACGGACCCUUCGGGGUUAGUGGCGGACGGGUGAGUAACACGUGGGAACGUGCCUUUAGGUUCGGAAUAGCUCCUGGAAACGGGUGGUAAUGCCGAAUGUGCCCUUCGGGGGAAAGAUUUAUCGCCUUUAGAGCGGCCCGCGUCUGAUUAGCUAGUUGGUGAGGUAAUGGCUCACCAAGGCGACGAUCAGUAGCUGGUCUGAGAGGAUGACCAGCCACAUUGGGACUGAGACACGGCCCAAACUCCUACGGGAGGCGGCAGUGGGGAAUCUUGCGCAAUGGGCGAAAGCUUGACGCAGCCAUGCCGCGUGAAUGAUGAAGGUCUUAGGAUUGUAAAAUUCUUUCACCGGGGACGAUAAUGACGGUACCCGGAGAAGAAGCCCCGGCUAACUUCGUGCCAGCAGCCGCCGUAAUAC
rnacentral:rRNA from 1 species